GUGGGGAAUCUUGCGCAAUGGGCGAAAGCCUGACGCAGCCAUGCCGCGUGAAUGAUGAAGGUCUUAGGAUUGUAAAAUUCUUUCACCGGGGACGAUAAUGACGGGACCCGGAGAAGAAGCCCCGGCUAACUUCGUGCCAGCAGCCGCGGUAAUACGAAGGGGGCUAGCGUUGCUCGGAAUUACUGGGCGUAAAGGGCGCGUAGGCGGACAGUUUAGUCAGAGGUGAAAGCCCAGGGCCCAACCUUGGAAUUGCCUUUGAUACUGGCUGUCUUGAGUACGGGAGAGGUGAGUGGAACUCCGAGUGUAGAGGUGAAAUUCGUAGAUAUUCGGAAGAACACCAGUGGCGAAGGCGACAUACUGGUCCAUUACUGACGCUGAGGCUCGAAAGCGUGGGGAGCAAACAGGAUUAGAAACCCCAGUAGUCC
rnacentral:rRNA from 1 species